ensembl:lncRNA ZNF436-AS1 ZNF436 antisense RNA 1
ACAGGGGCUCCCAGCGGCCUCCCGCACCGAAGGGACCCUGGGCGUCUGAGGCCCUGAUCCGGGCGGGCCUUCAGGAUGUUAGCAGUCCCUGUCCGGUUGAAGGCCUGCGGGGCGGGGGCGGGGUGGCGCCCAGGACGACUCCCCGGGCUCAGCUUGGCUGCCUGCCUCCUUCUUAACCAACUUGGAAAGCUGUAUUUGUUCCCAUGAUUCAGCAAACAAUGAGUACCUACUGUGUGUAGAAGCAGCAGGACAGCCUGUCAUCACUGGGAAAGAGGCCAGAAGAGCCGUUUGGCCAGGGUCUCCAAUUUAGGCUUUCAACAUUAUCUCUAAAGAAGGUUAUACAUUAUGUCGGCUCCACUGGCUGAUGGGAUCAAAGACCCUCCUUGUAUAUCCUUAAACCUGUACUCUAUUACCAGGCCACUGUGCCUGUGGAGCACUGUAAGUUCCUACCUUUUAAUAAAUUUUAUAAUUAUCUUGUGAGCAGCACAA